rnacentral:rRNA from 1 species
UGGGGAAUAUUGGACAAUGGGCGCAAGCCUGAUCCAGCAAUGCCGCGUGUGUGAAGAAGGCCUUCGGGUUGUAAAGCACUUUUAUCAGGAGCGAAACGCUGUCGGCUAAUACCCGGCGGAACUGACGGUACCUGAGGAAUAAGCACCGGCUAACUUCGUGCCAGCAGCCGCGGUAAUACGAAGGGUGCAAGCGUUAAUCGGAAUUACUGGGCGUAAAGCGUGCGUAGGCGGUUUCUUAAGUCUGCUGUGAAAUCCCCGGGCUCAACCUGGGAAUGGCAGUGGAUACUGGGAGGCUAGAGUGUGUCAGAGGGUGGUGGAAUUCCCGGUGUAGCGGUGAAAUGCGUAGAGAUCGGGAGGAACAUCAGUGGCGAAGGCGGCCACCUGGGACAACACUGACGCUGAGGCACGAAAGCGUGGGGAGCAAACAGGAUUAGGAUACCCUGGUAGUCCACGCCCUAAACGAUGCGAACUGGAUGUUGGUCUCAACUCGGAGAUCAGUGUCGAAGCUAACGCGUUAAGUUCGCCGCCUGGGGAGUACGGUCGCAAGACUGAAACUCAAAGGAAUUGACGGGGUCAUAGCUGUUUCCUG